GUCCCUAAAUUCUCGGCUGGCAUGUAAUUUUGGGUGCUAUUUCAUUUUUUUUCUUUUGCUGCCUACUUUGUUUAAUUGGAAAACAUGCCAACUGAUUUCCCUUUUUUUUGCUGCUUUUCUCUUUUGUUGGCCGACUGUUUUUUUUUUCAUUAUAUAUAUUUUAUUAAUUUUGCAUUGUAUGUGUUUUAGUUUUAUUUUUGCUUUGUAAAGCCAACGGCUAUACAUUAAAAAAUGGCUAGAUUUUCUAACGGUUAAAUUCUUAAAAAUUUCUAUAUAUACUCCAUUUCAUUUUUCAUUCUUUACCCAUCUUCCCAAUAUUUUUAUCUUCUUAUUAUUUUCUUCUUGUCUUUGUUUUC
rnacentral:lncRNA from 1 species